ACGAACGCUGGCGGCGUGCUUCACGCCUGCAAGUCGAACGGAAAGGCCUUUUCGGAGGUACUCGAGUGGCGAACGGGUGAGUAACACGUGGGUGAUCUGCCCUGCACUCUGGGGUAAGCCUGGGCAACUGGGUCUAAUACCGGAUAGGACCGCACUUUAGUGUGUGUGGUGGAAAGUUGUUUCGGUGUAGGAUGAGCCCGCGGCCUAUCAGCUUGUUGGUGGGGUAAUGGCCUACCAAGGCGGCGACGGGUAGCCGGACUGAGAGGUUGGUCGGCCACAUUGGGACUGAGAUACGGCCCAGGCUCCUACGGGAGGCAGCAGUGGGGAAUAUUGCACAAUGGGCGCAAGCCUGAUGCAGCGACGCCGCGUGGGGGAUGACGGCCUUCGGGUUGUAAACUCCUUUCGCCAGGGACGAAGCGUUUUGUGACGGUACCUGGAGAAGAAGCACCGGCUAACUACGUG
rnacentral:rRNA from 1 species